rnacentral:lncRNA from 1 species
GACAACCCAAGAGGGGGGGUGAAUUGGGUUUUCUAAAAAUUAUGUUUCCUAAUUUUUACUUUGAAUUGAAUGCAGCGGAAUAAUAAGAUGUUAUUUACUUAAGUUCUAGGCGAUUACACGUAAAGUAGUGGAAGAUUAAGCUAGAGCAAUUAUAAUAUAUGAGAAUGGUAAGGAUGGAGUGGAAGCUAAGCAAGUUCUAAACAAUCACUUAUAAAUCAAUAGGAAACAAAGCUAGAGAUAUUACACAAUCAAGUAUGAAUGUAAGGCAUGAAACACAA